UGUAACAGCAACUCCAUGUGGAAUAAGUAGAUUUCCAGUGGAGGUGCUGUUACUUU
rnacentral:pre_miRNA from 1 species